UAGUGAAUCUUCGGCAAUGGACGAAAGUCUGACCGAGCAACGCCGCGUGAGUGAAGAAGGUUUUCGGAUCGUAAAACUCUGUUGUUAGAGAAGAACAAGGACGUUAGUAACUGAACGUCCCCUGACGGUAUCUAACCAGAAAGCCACGGCUAACUACGUGCCAGCAGCCGCGGUAAUACGUAGGUGGCAAGCGUUGUCCGGAUUUAUUGGGCGUAAAGCGAGCGCAGGCGGUUUCUUAAGUCUGAUGUGAAAGCCCCCGGCUCAACCGGGGAGGGUCAUUGGAAACUGGGAGACUUGAGUGCAGAAGAGGAGAGUGGAAUUCCAUGUGUAGCGGUGAAAUGCGUAGAUAUAUGGAGGAACACCAGUGGCGAAGGCGGCUCUCUGGUCUGUAACUGACGCUGAGGCUCGAAAGCGUGGGGAGCAAACAGG
rnacentral:rRNA from 2 species